UACGAAGGGGGCUAGCGUUGCUCGGAAUCACUGGGCGUAAAGCGCACGUAGGCGGAUCUUUAAGUCAGGGGUGAAAUCCUGGAGCUCAACUCCAGAACUGCCUUUGAUACUGGGGAUCUCGAGUCCGGGAGAGGUGAGUGGAACUGCGAGUGUAGAGGUGAAAUUCGUAGAUAUCAGGAGGAACACCAGUGGCGAAGGCGGCUCACUGGCCCGAUACUGACGCUGAGGCACGAAAGCGUGGGGAGCAAACAGG
rnacentral:rRNA from 1 species